rnacentral:rRNA from 1 species
AACGAACGCUGGCGGCAUGCCUAACACAUGCCAGUCGAACGAGACCUUCGGGUCUAGUGGCGCACGGGUGCGUAACGCGUGGGAACCUGCCCUUAGGUUCGGAAUAACUCCCCGAAAGGGGUGCUAAUACCGGAUAAUGUCUUCGGACCAAAGAUUUAUCGCCUUUGGAUGGGCCCGCGUUGGAUUAGCUAGUUGGUAGGGUAAAAGCCUACCAAGGCGACGAUCCAUAGCUGGUCUGAGAGGAUGAUCAACCACACUGGGACUGAGACACAGCCCAGACUCCUACGGGAGGCAGCAGUGGGGAAUAUUGGACAAUGGGCGAAAGCCUGAUCCAGCAAUGCCGCGUGAGUGAUGAAGGCCUUAGGGUUGUAAAGCUCUUUUACCCGGGAUGAUAAUGACAGUACCGGGAGAAUAAGCUCCGGCUAACUCCGUG